CACAAAUAACAGGGCAAGAGGAAAGAAGCUUAUGUUGUAUGGGGGGAGAUGAGGACCUGCAAAGAUUAUGAGGAGUUUCAACUCAGGAUAUGGUGUCCAAGUCAGAGGGAGAGAAGAGAAUUGGCUUCUGUACAUCUGUACCUACCACCGCUUCAUGCUGUUUCCAAUUUAGGUGCUGAUGUCCAACUUUAGCUUGUUUCUUCUGCUACAAAACAAGGACAAACUUGAAAUGUAUAUGAGGAAGAUCAUGGUUUGGAAUCUGGCGGAUGGUGUAUCAUUUGUUAGAAGAUGACAAAGAUCAAAUGGACCAAGAGGAAGGUCACAGACAAUUCAGAAAAAUUUGUACAAAGUA